rnacentral:lncRNA from 1 species
AUCUUUCUUCUUGCAUCUCGGCUGCCUCGUGAUCAGGAAGUCAUGGAGGGAGACUAGUGCCUAGUAUUUGCGGUGCCUGAAAACUUUCUUAAGAAGCAGUUGUUUUGCUGGCCUCCUAGGACAUCCAGGAGCUGGUCCUGUCAUCUUCCAGGUAUUCAUAUGCUCAGCUAAAUGUACAUAACUGUAAAUCAACACUAAGAGCACCGGAUGGUUAAGGUCAAGGAGAUUCUCACAAAGGAUCCAGUAAUUUCAUUUUUUUAUUUGCAAACCCUGUUGUGAAACUUCAAGAAGAGUUCCAAUAUUUGAAAAUGGGA